UGGUAAAGUUUACAGUUUGGGAGAAUCCUUUUCUAUUCCUUCUAUUAGACAAGCUUUUAAGUAAUCAUAUGAUCCCCUCUCUCCCUACAUUUUCCUAAUAGGUGCAGUGUGGCUUGGUUAUUGGGACAACAGUGCCCCCUACCAGAAAACAUUCUCUAUCUCUUCCGGCUAGUUGGUCCCCAAACUCAAGCCCCUGUCCAGGAAAAGCCGAUACUUCAUCUUUUCCUCGGGUAUUUGAAAUACCACAUCCUUACAUUCACUAGACUCUACAUCUGCCUAGCUCUGUUUUGGUGUUCGCUAUCUUGCUUAUUAACCUACUAGGCACAAGAUUCUGGGGGUACUAUACUGUUGGAAUAUGUUAUACUGUUCAAUGUACUAUCUAUGGGGGAAUACUGUACUCUUACAAUAUUAUUUGAUAUCUGGAAGGACCAGUUUCCUCUAAUUAUUUUUCUUUUAAGAUGUUUCUCUUUUGAAAAAUUUUGUAAUACUUUCAGGCAUUUUCUAUUAUUUCAUGUCUUUUUUACUUUAUCCCACUUAAACUUGUAGCCAAUGGAAGGGGCCAAAACAACCCGUAAUAUGCUUUUUCAAAGUAUAGUAAAGACUCAAGUUUUCCUGGCACAAAGCACUGAAGUGAGUUAGUUGAAGAUGUGUUUCUCCCAGCUAAGAUGUAAAAAGCUGAGGCUUGAAAAAACAAAGUUACACACGUGGCUGGUAGUGAGCACAGGACUCUUAGAAAGUCAAUAAUACAUGCAUUCUUAAACGAGAGGAUUAGGAACGUAAAAAAAAAAAACCAGUGAAAUUAAAUGAGUGAAUAUAAGAUGCCAGAUUAUAUUUAAAAUGUGGAAAAGUGGAUAGAAGAUU